rnacentral:rRNA from 1 species
UAGGGAAUCUUCGGCAAUGGGGGCAACCCUGACCGAGCAACGCCGCGUGAGUGAAGAAGGUUUUCGGAUCGUAAAGCUCUGUUGUAAGAGAAGAAUGUGUGUGAGAGUGGAAAGUUCACACAGUGACGGUAACUUACCAGAAAGGGACGGCUAACUACGUGCCAG